ACAGGAGGGUUUAGGGAUUCAUUAGACAGUAACCUCUCAGCUCUACAGGAGGGUUUAGGGAUUCAUUAGACAGUAACCUCUCAGCUCUACAGGAGGGUUUAGGGAUUCAUGUAACAGUAACCUCUCAGCUCUACAGGAGGGUUUAGGGAUUCAUUAGACAGUAACCUCUCAGCUCUACAGGAGGGUUUAGGGAUUCAUUAGACAGUAACCUCUCAGCUCUACAGGAGGGUUUAGGGAUUCAUUAGACAGUAACCUCUCAGCUCUACAGGACGGUUUAGGGGUUCAUUAGACAGUAA